rnacentral:rRNA from 1 species
UACGUAGGAGACGAGCGUUGUCCGGAAUUACUGGGCGUAAAGCGCGUGUAGGCGGAUGGGCAAGUCUGCUGGGAAAGCUCCUGGCUUAACCGGGAGUGGUCGGUGGAAACUGCCAAUCUGGAGGACGGUAGAGGUAGGUAGAAUUCCCGGUGUAGUGGUGAAAUGCGUAGAGAUCGGGAGGAAUACCUGUGGCGAAGGCGGCCUACUGGGCCGGACCUGACGCUGAGACGCGAAGGCGUGGGGAGCGAACGGG